rnacentral:rRNA from 1 species
CCUACGGGUGGCAGCAGUGAGGAAUAUUGGUCAAUGGCCGGAAGGCUGAACCAGCCAAGCCGCGUGAAGGACGAAGGUGCCAAGCAUUGUAAACUUCUUUUGUCAAGGGACAAAAUCAGGCUCGAGAGCCUGACCGAGGGUACUUGAAGAAAAAGCAUCGGCUAACUCCGUGCCAGCAGCCGCGGUAAUACGGAGGAUGCGAGCGUUAUCCGGAUUUAUUGGGUUUAAAGGGUGCGUAGGUUGUUUUUUAAGUCAGCGGUGAAAUCCCCGCGCUCAACGUGGGAACUGCCUUUGAAACUGGCAAACUGGAGUGUGUGAGAGGAUAGUGGAAUUCCAGGUGUAGGAGUGAAAUCCGUAGAUAUCUGGAGGAACAUCAGUGGCGAAGGCGACUAUCUGGCACAUAACUGACGCUGAGGAGCGAAAGCGUGGGUAGCAAACAGGAUUAGAUACCCCAGUAGUC